rnacentral:rRNA from 1 species
GAUGAACGCUGGCGGCGUGCCUAAUACAUGCAAGUCGAGCGAACGGACGAGAAGCUUGCUUCUCUGAUGUUAGCGGCGGACGGGUGAGUAACACGUGGAUAACCUACCUAUAAGACUGGGAUAACUUCGGGAAACCGGAGCUAAUACCGGAUAAUAUUUUGAACCGCAUGGUUCAAAAGUGAAAGACGGUCUUGCUGUCACUUAUAGAUGGAUCCGCGCUGCAUUAGCUAGUUGGUAAGGUAACGGCUUACCAAGGCAACGAUGCAUAGCCGACCUGAGAGGGGGAUCGGCCACACUGGAACUGAGACGCGGUCCAGACUCCUACGGGAGGCAGCAGUAGGGAAUCUUCCGCAAUGGGCGAAAGCCUGACGGAGCAACGCCGCGUGAGUGAUGAAGGUCUUCGGAUCGUAAAACUCUGUUAUUAGGGAAGAACAUAUGUGUAAGUAACUGUGCACAUCUGGACGGUACCUAAUCAGAAAGCCACGGCUAACUACGUG